rnacentral:rRNA from 1 species
GGCCUAACACAUGCAAGUCGAGCGGAUGAGGGAAGCUUGCUUCCCGAUUUAGCGGCGGACGGGUGAGUAAUGCCUAGGAAUCUGCCUAUUAGUGGGGGAUAACGUUCCGAAAGGAACGCUAAUACCGCAUACGUCCUACGGGAGAAAGUGGGGGAUCUUCGGACCUCACGCUAAUAGAUGAGCCUAGGUCGGAUUAGCUAGUUGGUGGGGUAACGGCUCACCAAGGCGACGAUCCGUAGCUGGUCUGAGAGGAUGAUCAGCCACACUGGAACUGAGACACGGUCCAGACUCCUACGGGAGGCAGCAGUGGGGAAUAUUGGACAAUGGGCGAAAGCCUGAUCCAGCCAUGCCGCGUGUGUGAAGAAGGUCUUCGGAUUGUAAAGCACUUUAAGUUGGGAGGAAGGGUUGUAAGCUAAUAUCUUGCAGCUUUGACGUUACCAACAGAAUAAGCACCGGCUAACUCUGUGCCAGCAGCCGCGGUAAUACAGAGGGUGCAAGCGUUAAUCGGAAUUACUGGGCGUAAAGCGCGCGUAGGCGGCUUAGUAAGUUGGAUGUGAAAGCCCCGGGCUCAACCUGGGAACUGCAUCCAAAACUGCUUGGCUAGAGUACAGUAGAGGGUGGUGGAAUUUCCUGUGUAGCGGUGAAAUGCGUAGAUAUAGGAAGGAACACCAGUGGCGAAGGCGACCACCUGGACUGAUACUGACGCUG